UGGGGANUNUUGGACAAUGGGGGGAACCCUGAUCCAGCGACGCCGCGUGAGUGAAGAAGUAUUUCGGUAUGUAAAGCUCUAUCAGCAGGGAAGAAAAUGACGGUACCUGACUAAGAAGCCCCGGCUAACUACGUGCCAGCAGCCGCGGUAAUACGUAGGGGGCAAGCGUUAUCCGGAUUUACUGGGUGUAAAGGGAGCGCAGACGGCUUGGCAAGUCUGAAGUGAAAGCCCGGGGCUUAACCCCGGGACUGCUUUGGAAACUGUGAAGCUAGAGUGUCGGAGAGGUAAGUGGAAUUCCCAGUGUAGCGGUGAAAUGCGUAGAUAUUGGGAGGAACACCGGUGGCGAAGGCGGCUUACUGGACGAUAACUGACGUUGAGGCUCGAAGGCGUGGGGAGCAAACAGGAUUAGAUACCCUGGUAGUCCACGCGGUAAACGAUGAAUACUAGGUGUCGGGGGACAUAGUCUUUCGGUGCCGCCGCUAACGCAUUAAGUAUUCCACCUGGGGAGUACGUUCGCAAGAAUG
rnacentral:rRNA from 1 species